UGAACCUCCACAAUAUCUGCAUUUGAAUAAAUACCCAAAAAUAUCAAUACAGUGCUUUUUAAUAUCGAUACAGUAUUGUGAAAUGAAAUAUCAUGAUAUAUCGCAGAAUCGAUAUUUUCUUACAGCCCUAGUCAUGAUGGUAAUUCACACACCGCUUCAAUUUAACUAAAAAUGAGGAAAAACUACGGGCUUUUACUGCUCAUCUGCACCGACGAUGUGGCUGAACAGCAGACGUCAACACCAGUGUGAUCAAACUACAGACCAGAACAGUCAUUUAAAGAUGGACGCUUCAUGUUUAACCUGCUCAGACCCAGGAACGGAAACAUUCUGGCUUUUUUACUUUAAAUAAUUUCCUUAAUUGGAGAUGGUGUGAUCCACAGAUUUUCAGAAACUUUUUUUUUUAUGUUCUUUGCAGUAUUUUUUUUUAAAGCUGUAAACUCUGGUCCCCUCCAGAGGACACAAAUGCAUUUCUGGGUCUCAUCAGGUUCAUGUAAGUCAAUGAUCCGACAUCUAGUGGCCAUCAGUGGUAUUACACCUGCAGAUCCGAAAGCACUGGCUUCUGUUUGCACAUGAGCUUUUUGCCCCCUGGUUCGUCUGUAAGGUAUGGAAGAUUCUGAACUGAUACACAGCACUGGCCUCGUAGCCUUAAACGGUUUUAGGUUUUUUAACGACACUUAGAUGGAAGUGAUAAUAAUCGUUAAUCACUGUGACGUCAGGAAGUCGCAGAUGCUAAUCCUCCAUAUUCUGUAGUUAGCGUGUAGACUUUAAUUUUUGUCGACAGUCCACUGAAUCCAAAUCCAUACUGUUGUAGCUACGCUCAUUAUUUACAGUCACAGCGGACUGUGUUCAUACACCCCCGAUCAUGAAUCAAUAAUGUAACAGAUACACUGGUGGCUUCUGUACAGCUCCGCUCAUACUGUAGCGUUAUACUGUAUUCAGGGUCUGGGGUUCUCUCUGUAGGACCUUCAAACAGGCACAUUCUGCGCAGAUGGUUCAACCUGGAUACUGGAUGAACAUCAUGUCAAUAAUCCACCCAAAAAUGACUGCACCAAAAAGGAGCAGAUUACUGAACUUUGGAUUUUUUUGACAAUAAUUCCUUAAGGGUUGUAUUUUCUUUCUCGCCUGUUGCUUUUAGAACCUCAGUCUGUUUUUAGGGAUGGAUGCACUAGAACUGUUUAUACAGCUGAUAUCAGGAACCCAGAACUGAGACCAAACACCCACUGUUCCCAUUCUGACAAUUCCUCCUUCUUCUUCCUACUCCUCCUUCCUUCUUUCCUCCCUCCCUCCUCCUUCAUCCUUCUUUUUCCUCCUCCUCCUCCCUCCUUCCUUCCUCCUCCUCCGCCUCCUAGAUUUAUUAUUAUGGGCUGUAUUUAUCAGUGAAAACUUUAAUUAUCAGAAUGACGUCUUUUUUUUUCUAAUAUCGUACCUAUAAUCAUCAGUGCUGAUAGUUCUUGUGCAUCCCUGCUCUAUAUUGAAUCUUUUUUUAAAUGGGUCUGUACUGUGUGUCUGCUGGACCCUGUGGACCUUCUGGGUGCUUCUUCAUCAUCCUCCUCAUUGGUCGUUCAUCUUAAAGCAGGGCUAAAGGAACUCUGAACUAACAGCUGCUAUCCACACAAAACAGAGGACUGCUGGACUCAAACAGGACCCAAGGGACCAGCCGAUGCCUACUGCUAUUUAUGUUGAUUUGUUGUCAUUAAUGUUGCACAAUAAAGACUUAUUUUAGCUACAAAUGAAACUGA